AUGAUGAACAUUAUACAUGAUGGAGGCAGCUACGAAUACGGACAAGUGGAUGACUCCCAGCCGAAGGAACAACCACAGUCAGACACCCUGCAGCCGGACAUGGAUCCAGAGGAGCACUGGCCGCCUGGUGCCAACCCAAAGAAGAAGCAGAGGGGACUUAAUUUCUUCCUAGAGGAGGAUGAAUUGGUGUGUGAGGCAUGGUUGGCUAGUAGUAGCAAUCUGUUUCAGGGUACAGAGCAAAGGGGCGCGAAGUUCUGGCAAAGCUUGCACACUUGGUUUCACAAGCAAAAGCACUACGAUCCCAACCGCGCAACAGUGAUCCAUCAACGCAAUUCGAAGUUGCUCGAUGGUACAACAUUCAAAAGUUUUGCAGUUGCUACAAACAAGUGA
rnacentral:rRNA from 1 species